rnacentral:misc_RNA from 1 species
AUGAUAUUGUCAAUAUUUUGGAAAGUGUUGGGGUUUUGUCAAGAAAAGCUAAGAAUCAGUAUAGAUGGAAUGGGUAUAAUGCAAUUUCUAAGGCUGUAGAUUUGCUUAAGAAAGAAGGACUAAAAGAUCUGUCCACUGUCUCCUCCACUUGCCACAAUGUUUCAAAUGUCAUAGCUUGUAACAAUUCAGAUGUUAAGGAAAAAGGAGAAGGCAAGACUGCUGGAUCACAUAAAAUUGACAACCGGAAGGAGAAGUCUUUG